CCUUGGGGGGGACCUAGGACAUUCUGUGAGCCCACAGGAAAGUUUACCAAAUGCUGCAGCUUUGUCCUGGUGGUGAUGGGCACCCCGUUAACGGCAACCUUGCAUUUGCUGUGUGGAGUGACCGUCGCUUUACCGUCGGCAUUUGUGAAGGAAGCGUGUUUAUCUGAAAUUCUAAGAAGACCAGAGUCAGUCUAAGACACCCAGCAAAUGGCGGUUUUCGUGAGCAGGGUUGGAGCCCAGGAAGCAAACCAGCACUGCACCCUGGAUUUCAGCCAGAGGACGAACGCCCUGCCCUCAGCUUUCUCAGACCAGCCCUGGAGUAAGUGGCCCGGGGAGACCUGGGCAGUGUCCCUGCUUGUCCUGCAGACUGUGUGGCUCUGUAGAUCCCUAGAUGGAGGAGUCACAAUUCUCUAAUGCUGGACGAGGACACUGAUUCAUGGAAGCUCACCCCAAACCUUGAAUCGUGAUAGCAUUUGAGGCAGCCUGACCAGCGUCACAUGAACCUGAAAAGAAUCAAGAUAUGAUUUAUUUUAAAAAUAAAUCAGACACUUUCAGAA
rnacentral:lncRNA from 1 species